UUGUUGCGGUUAAAAGCUCGUAGUUGGAUUUUGGGCGCAGGCGGCCGGUCCGUCGCAAGGCGUGUACUGGCCGUCCUGGCCUCACCUCCGGUUCUCCGCCGGUGCCCUUGACUGAGUGUCGGCGGCGGCCGGAACGUUUACUUUGAAAAAAUUAGAGUGUUCAAAGCAGGCGAUUCGCCUGAAUAAUGGUGCAUGGAAUAAUGGAAUAGGACCUCGGUUCUAUUUUGUUGGUUUUCGGAGCGCGAGGUAAUGAUUAAGAGGGACAGACGGGGGCAUUCGUACUGUGCCGUUAGAGGUGAAAUUCUUGGAUCGGCGCAAGACGAACGACUGCGAAAGCAUUUGCCAAGAAUGUUUUCUUUAAUCAAGAGCGAAAGUCAGAGGUUCGAAGACGAUCAGAUACCGUCCUAGUUCUGACUAUAAACGAUGCCAACUAGCGAUCGGGGGGCGUUAGUUUUACGACCUCUCCGGCAGCUUGCGGGAAACCAAAGUCUUUGGGUUCCGGGGGAAGUAUGGUUGCAAAGCUGAAACUUAAAGGAAUUGACGGAAGGGCACCACCAGGAGUGGAGCCUGCGGCUUAAUUUGACUCAACACGGGAAAUCUCACCCGGCCCGGACACAGUGAGGAUUGACAGAUUGAGAGCUCUUUCUUGAUUCUGUGGGUGGUGGUGCAUGGCCGUUCUUAGUUGGUGGAGCGAUUUGUCUGGUUAAUUCCGAUAACGAACGAGACUCUGGCUUGCUAACUAGUUACGCGACCCAAUCGGUCGGCGUCUAACUUCUUAGAGGGACUAGUGGCGUUUAGCCACACGAGAUUGAGCAAUAACAGGUCUGUGAUGCCCUUAGAUGUUCGGGGCCGCACGCGCGCUACACUGACCGGAUCAGCAUGUGCUCGCCUUGGCCGACAGGUCUGGGUAACCCGCUGAACCCCGGUCGUGCUAGGGAUAGGGAAUUGCAAUUAUUUCCCUUGAACGAGGAAUUCCCAGUAAGCGCGAGUC
rnacentral:rRNA from 1 species